rnacentral:rRNA from 1 species
CAUGGUAGUUUGACUCCGUGGCUCAGAUUGAACGCUGGCGGAAUGCUUUACACAUGCAAGUCGAACGGUAGAGGGGGCAACCCCUUGAGAGUGGUGAACGGGUGAGUAAUAUAUCGGAACGUGCCCAGUCGUGGGGGAUAACGUAGUGAAAAUUACGCUAAUACCGCAUACGAUCUAUGGAUGAAAGCGGGGGAUCGCAAGACCUCGCGCGAUUGGAGCGGCCGAUAUCAGAUUAGGUAGUUGGUGGGGUUAAACGGCUCGACCAAGCCAACGAUCUGUAGCUGGUCUGAGAGACGACCAGCCACACUGGAACUGAGACACGGUCCAGA